AAUGAACGUUGGCGGCGUGGAUUAGGCAUGCAAGUCGUGCGAUAACCCCGCAAGGGGGGAAAGCGGCGAAAGGGAGAGUAACGCGUGGGUACCUGCCCCUUGGUCCGGAAUAGCUGCGGGAAACUGCAGGUAAUGCCGGAUAACAUCCUCGGAUCAAAGGUGUGAUUCCGCCGAGGGAGGGGCCCGCGUUCUAUUAGCUAGUUGGUAGGGUAAUGGCCUACCAAGGCGACGAUGGAUACCGGGUGUGAGAGCAUGACCCGGCUCACUGGGACUGAGACACUGCCCAGACACCUACGGGUGGCUGCAGUCGAGAAUCUUCGGCAAUGGGCGCAAGCCUGACCGAGCGACGCCGCGUGCGGGAUGAAGGCCUUCGGGUUGUAAACCGCUGUCGUAGAGGAGGAAAUGCCAUGGGGUUCUCUCCAUGGUUUGACCUAUUCUAGGAGGAAGGACGGGCUAAGUUCGUGCCAGCCGCCGCAGUAACAC
rnacentral:rRNA from 1 species